rnacentral:rRNA from 1 species
CACGUAGUUAGCCGUGGCUUAUUCCUCAGGUACCGUCACUUGCUUCGUCCCUGAGAAAAGAAGUUUACAACCCGAAAGCCUUCUUCCUUCACGCGGCGUUGCUGGGUCAGGCUUGCGCCCAUUGCCCAAUAUUCCCCACUGCUGCCUCCCGUAGGAGUCUGGGCCGUGUCUCAGUCCCAAUGUGGCCGGCCAACCUCUCAGUCCGGCUACUGAUCGUCGCCUUGGUGGGCCGUUACCCCGCCAACUAGCUAAUCAGACGCGAGUCCAUCUCAGAGCGAUAAAUCUUUGAUGUCCAGUGCCAUGCGACACAGACAUAUUAUGCGGUAUUAGCAGCUGUUUCCAGCUGUUAUUCCCCACUCCAAGGCAGGUUACUCACGCGUUACUCACCCGUCCGCCACUAAGUAGUCCCAUCAGUUGUCCGAAAACUCCUUCAGGGGUACUCCGUUCGACUUGCAUGUGUUAAGCACGCCGCCAGCGUUCAUCCUGAGCCAGGAUCAAA